rnacentral:tRNA from 1 species
AAAUAAGAAACAAAAAAUUGUAUUUAAUUUCGACUUAAAAUUUUGACAUUCGCCCGUCCUUAUUUA